CCAAAUAAUAAUUCUCCAACAAAGACACAGAGGAGCUUUGCAGAGGGAGGUGCCAGUUAGGACAAUUAACAGUUCCCUUCUGCUGCGGGGAUGCUUACACAGCACCCAACACUCAAGCGAGGUUUGGCCAACCAACUCAUUUCAGAUUGAUUUUUGUGUAUUUUGGAGGCUGCUGCCUCAUUUUGGAGGCGUAGCCUGGGAGGCUGCAGAGGAGGAGCCCGCCCAUGACUGGCAGGCAAGGGGCCAGCUCUGCCCGGCAGCCCAUGGGUGCCUCACGAGAGAGUCAUGGCGCUGCCCGGCCUGCUGGGCCCUCAUGGGCAUGCCUGUGGCUCCCAAAGUGGUGGGGACUGGUGUCCCAACACCCAGUAGCUGUCACUGCCAGACAAAAACGUACCAGCCUCUGAAUGUGACUGGGAACACCGCAUUGUUGCAAGCCAGAGGCCUAUUUUGGGCUAAUCUGCGAGAUGAGGCGACACGCUUGUUCUUGUGCAGGAAGAUUCCAUUGCCGAUAAACAUCAGUAUAUCUUUUUUAGCACAACGAGCUAAGCAUGAGAGAAGACAACUAUUUAUAAAUACCCUUAGGGGUAAAUAUCAAGCAGAGAAACUGUAGGAGUUAAAGGUUAAUGCUAGCCUGGGAUCAAAUGGGUAUAAAUUAAUCAUGAAUAAGCGCAGACUGGAAAUGAGAAGACCGUUCACAGUAAUGUGAGGAGCAAAACUCUGCAGCAAUUGGAGAGAGGCCUGAGGAGCUGGCAGAAGGCUUGUGCACCCCAACAGAAGUUUCCGAAGACAGAAAAUCGCUUUUUCCUGGGGAUCCCUGGGGGUUCGGUGAGCUCCCCUCACCUGGGGGUGCCUCCCCUCCCUGGACCCCUGUGUGACCGAGUGCCGGGGGUGAGCAGACCGCCUGCUGAUGGACCAGACCUGUGCUCGGUGAUCUUGGUGGAAAACAGGUGUGUACAAUUUCUGUUUUACUAAGGGUGGCUGUGGAUGGUGCUGGGACAUGUGCCCCAUUCACAGGCCAGCUCUGCCUGCUGUCCCUGCUCACUGACUCGGCAAGCGGGGCUUCUGCCAAGGGACUGGCUGCAGUGUGUGGGCAAACAGAAUGCCUAGAAGGUCCAAAUAAAUAACAUGUUCAUCUGUCUGCAAGACAGAAGAUGCGGUCGUAGGUUGACUGUGUCUUAUUUUCCUUAUAAUGCCUAUUUUCCUAAUAAAUACCAGUCCCUGUGGCAUUAUAGAUGGGCUGAGACAGAAACUGCCCAGCUCUCCUGUUUACUUUAUGGAUUCCCUCAGUUCCCUGCUGGCAGCUUCAGGCCAGUUUCAACUAUUUCUCUCAGCUGUAUCACAUCACAGUAUUUCUGUGGGCUCUCAAGAAACCACCCUGCACUCUCGAGGUCAUCCUCCUCUCUUGCUGGUACAUAGUGUAAGCCAAGAAUAUUUAAAGCAUGAUUUUGUAUUAUAUCAAGCUGCUCUAGAAAGCACUCUGCACUGAUUAACAGGUAAUUAUGGAAGACAAGUUUCACACAGUUCCCAGAUUGCCUAGUAUCCAGUGCUCUGCUGGAAUAAGCUGGUGCCUUGCUAGUGGCCUGCUGACACAGCAACAGCACGCUGGGUCCCUGAUGGGCUUUGGGGAAUGUGUUGGACAAGACCCAUAAAGCUGACAGUGAGCUUUCUUCAGAGCCAUUUUAGUACUCUGUCAGUUAGUGAUGGGAAACAACCCUGGCAGAAGGUUGAAAAUGCAGGAGGCAAACAUCCACUUUUUGGAGCUGCAGGCGUCCAGGACAAGGUUUGUCUGCUCCUGUGUGCCUGCCCAGGGGGACCCCAUGGUAUGGGGCAAUGUGAAGUACAAAUAAUUAACAAAAUACAGUGUUUCUUGUUCAGCUAGAGUACCUGUAGUAGGAGAAGACUGACAGAUGGAUUAGCCCACGUGUCAUUCAUAUUGAGCCCCAUUAAGGUACUAAGGUUUUCCUGCCUACUGAUCUUGAUUUCUGUUCUGAGAGAAGAUGUUUUUCUGAUAUAUAUUCUGAUACAUGUUCUCCUUAAUAACAGACUGAAUAGUCAGAGGAUCUUCAAUGAAAUAAGACACCAGAAGAAUGCCGCAAGUACAGGAUAAACGACGUUUUGAGUGCUAAGUUGAACAUUCUUUGAGGCUACUGGGCUGGCUUAACAUCUUAUCAGCAAGAUGCUUGGACCACAGGACGCAGCUGAGCAGCAUGCACUGAAGCAGUCCCAGCUGUCCUGCCCAGGUUCCCACGUGUGUACGGCACAGGGAAAGUGAGGAGCUGCAAGCUGAAGGGCUGCAAAGGAGGAAGGAGAAGAUGCCAUGACGAGCACAUAACGGCAGCGCCAGGCGGCACACGGCUCUGCAGCAAGGUGUCGAGCGAGAGGCAGCAGCUGUUCGUGAGCCGUGGCAAACGUCACGCGUUCACGUUCACAGCCCAGGUGGCUGCUUGCAGGAUGCAGCAGCAGCGAAGCCAUCCGCUGGGCCAGGAGCACCAGGCAGCAUGCUGGAGCUUGGCACGGAGCUCUGUCCAGAGGCUGUUGUGAACCGCGAGCGUGCUGGCUGCAGCACAGCAGAUUGCAAAACAAAAACAAACAAAAAAUCUGGAAGCUUUCUUUGUGGAAAUGAGACAUUUCACCAAAAAAAAGUGCCUCAUGGAGAUGGAUCUGUUAUGAUGUUAAACUAUGGGUGAAAAUUUUGGGGACGGGGGCGAGAGCCAGCCCCCUGUCUCAGAUUCAGCAUAUAUGCGACAUCAAAGCAUUUCAGUGAAUUCUUCAUUCCAUUUACAUGCCAGCUCUCUGGUGAUGGAGUCAGACGUGUCGUGGUAGUCCUGCAAGCCGUAAAGCCAUCCAGCUUUUCUGCCACUGCUGCAGUUCUCAUUGCUGUAAGUACUGACCACUGGGGGACUGAUCCUCAAACAUCAAAAAACCUUUCUUUGAUGACCUACUGUUUUAAAGAGGGCAAUAGGACCAGCAUGUUUUCUCCUUAAAGAUAAAACGACAGCCAUUGUCUGUGUGCUAAGAAGGAACCAAUAGUUAUUUUCAACUUCAAUUUGUUCUGUGCAUUGUGAAAAAAGCUGAGUAAUUCUAUUCUCAUUUAGGAGAAGACUACAGGGGAGAGAAAUAUAUUUCUGAUAUAUUUUAGAGACUUUUCUAAAGAACAGGCUGUCACAGUGCGGUAUCCCACACCAAUGAAAACCUUUUCCCCAGGAUUGUCAGUUGUGCCUAGUUCUCCACCAAGUAUAUUGUCAUGGAUAUUUGCACUAAACUGAGAGUUAUCCAGCAUGAUACUUCUGAGAAUUCAGAUUAGCCUCAGUACUGAGCUAAGGAAGUCAUGAAGGCAGUCUGCAUCAUAGUGAUAUUAUGAUUGCUCUGAAACAGCGACGUAUCACAUAUCUGUGUUUUCAUUCUGCCAGAGACAUAUUUUCAGAAAGGCAGUUUCUGAUGACAUGUUUGGGCAAAUGAUGCCUUAUCUGCAUGUUUUUUUAUGUAUCAUCCUGAUCUGGUAACUUGAAUGCCAUAAGGAGAAAGCUAUGUUAAUUGCACAUGUUUUUAAGUCAUCGCAGUCCAAAACACAUGCCUCAAAACUAUGUGCCUCAGAAAGUCUGGUCACUUGUUUGAGAAGCCGGAGAUGUUCUGCCUCUGUUAGAGGAAUCAGGGAACUUUUUUAUAACAAGAAUCUUCAGGCAUGAUAAUCUUAGCCUUGUGGAUAUUGUAUAUUUCUCCUGCCUAAAAAUAAAAACCACUAAGUAUAUGAGCUGCUACUGUAAAUACAAGCACGAGUAAAAGCGUUCGUCUGUUGCCAGACUCCUCCUCCCACUUGAUUUCAGUAGUCAGCAAAAAUACUUAUUCAGUAUUAAGUUACAGAAAAGGAUUGUUGACCCUGGUAUAAUGGAGAGCUAAGAUAAAGUCAAGUCAAUGAAGUUUGCUUCAGCUUGCAACAUUUCAAAUAAAGCUUCUACAUUUGUUUGGCUCUUAAAAAUUAAACGAUAUAGAAAAUAUUAGUUAAAAGUGAAAGUGCAGAUAGUCUACAAGUGUUUUUCAUAAAGUAAUUUUAAUUGAGAUGCUCACAGCUGAGUUAGCAUUAUUUGCUGCUAAUUUAGGUUUCAUUCUAAAUAGUGUAUGUUAACAAACUUGGACCACUUAAUGCUAAGUGCUUUACAUUUUUCUCUUUAAUUAAAUUUUGCCAAAGAACUAUGUUACAUAAGCAUGUGCCCUUACAAAGAGCACACUCUCAGAGCCUGGUUAGAGAUCAGGUGCCCUUGCAGCAACUAGUGGUUUCCUACUGAUCUCACUGGAGACAGGAUUUUUCUCUUUACCCUGUACUUUUUUUGUAUAUAUGGGUCCUAAAAGUUAUUUGAUUACUUAAUACACAGGUUCUUGGGUACAUUACUCUAAGAAACUUAUUUUAAUGAGCUCCAGCCUGUCAUUUACCAUUUCUGUUAUUAGAUAAAAACAAGCCUUACUUCAGAGUUCAAACUUAUAUAUUCCAGCAAUUACAAACAUAUUUGAAAUACGACAACAGAUGCCAGUUUAGAUAAGUUUCUAGUCUGUGGAUGGAGGUAGGCAUUUGCUGCAAUAAUCUGCAGUUUUACUGCAGAAUUCGAGAAUUGCCUGGAGAGAGCUCUGGGAGAAUUGUGUACAAUUUCGGGGUUCUUUUUACUGUACAGUAAUCUAGUACAGGUGGUUCAGACAUGGAAGUGGCAUAAAAAUAAAGAAAAUUUUGAAUAAUCUUUAAGGUCAGUAGUAUAAGAUCUAGGCAUAACAAUUUACCUUUAAUUCUGAGAUAUUUUUCACCAGUGUGAGAUGAAACACGUUGAAGUAGGCGACACAGACUGAUGCUGCCGUUCUUCCAUGUGCCCAGAUUUGUGCAGGGUUGUGCAGCACUCUUCUUUUCCACGGGCAGCAUGGCUCUCAGGAGUGCAGUGCAGCAGGGACCAGACAGUGAUGUGGCUGCCUGGGCUCUGGAUGCUCACCUUGGCCAAAGCAUCACAGCGCACAGAUGCCAGGUUUCGACUCCCCGUGCAGCUUUUGCCACAUUGGCACAGUGGCCCAAGAACGUGUUGGAAACACGUGCAGUAAGGAUGCUAUCCAGCUAUGCCAAACUCUGGGGUUUGAUGUUUGAGUUUUGGUACAAAAGAAAAGGAAAAUGAGGGCUGCUCUGGGACAGCCCUGCUCAGAAGUGAUGGCUGGGGUGAGGUGUUGACCCCGUGGCUCUGCAGGCUGCUGUUGUCGUACGGCUGCAGGAACAGGGCAGGCUGGCUGAGCACUGCUCAUCUACCUCAGCGCAAAGUUACUCUCCUAAUGGGUAUUUUUUUCAAAGUUCUAAGAUGUUACCUAGUUACCAUAGCCUAGUAACCAUUUAGACAGAUCAGAGCUUUUCCUUGCCACCAGGUAAGCAAGUGACUCUCAGUGAGUCCAGUGACACUGAAACCGCCCAGCUGCAAACCAGAGUGAGACUCCAUAAGAAAUUUAUUUGAAGCGUUCAGAGGAACACUGCAGUAUGAGAUGAGUUAUGAUUAGUCUUGACAAUGCUAAUUCAGUUUAAAAUAUGCUUAACUGGUUUAAAAAUAAAACUUCAGCCUCCCUUCCACUGCAACCCAGUCCUGAAGCUAUUUCGGCGCGCGUUGCCUGUCCCAUGCCUUAUUUUCUGAUUCGGCUGCGAGGUUACUAUUAAUAGCCCAGAAGCUGGGGGGAGGAAGUGCGACUACCAAGUUCUGCAAACAGUUUUAUGUGCGCUCGCUUCUCGGCUGUGGGCGAGCGGUGCCAGCCCGCCCGUGUGCCGCCGGGGUCAGCCCUGGCCACGCUGGACCACCCAUCCCUCCCCGCGCGCGUUGCUAAGAGACCUGCUCUCCUCCGCUGAGCCUCGUGGAGAGGAGCACAUCAAAGACACCCACAGCCCCGAAUGGUUUUAUAAAUGAAUUUAAAGAGACACUCUCCCGUGCUGUGUUGUGCUGGGGGGAGAUCAAAAGUUGCUCUAUGUGCGGAGAGCAGCUGGAGAAUUCAACUGGCUUCUUCUGGAAAAUAAAAGUGCUCUCAUUACUGAGAACCAUGUUGUAUUUACUUUACUUUUUUUUUUUUUUUGCUUUUUUUCAGAACUAGACUACAAAUUUAUGCUAAUUAAUGUUUUCAGUUUUAUGGCAGGCAAGACAUUGAACGCAGGCCAGGGUGCGUGUUUGUACGACUUUCAAAAGUAAGGUUUUCUGUCAUCAAGUGACAAGCUGUUUUUGAUUAACUCUCUUCAUCUCUGAAAAUAUUUCAUUCUGUAAAUUUUAAUUGCUUUUCUGACUUACAUUGAAGUU